GAUGAAGAACGUAGCGAAAUGCGAUACGUAAUGUGAAUUGCAGAAUUCAGUGAAUCAUCGAAUCUUUGAACGCAUAUUGCGCUCUUUGGUAUUCCGAAGAGCAUGCUUGUUUGAGUAUCAGUAAACACCUCAACCUCUUCUUGAUUUUUCAAAAGGAGGGUGGACUUGAGCUAUCCCAACAACCUUUACCGGUCGGCGGGCGGCUUGAAAUGCAGGUGCAGCUGGACUUUUAUCUGAGCUAAAAGCAUAUCUAUUUAGUCCUCGUCAAACAGGAUUAUUACUUUUGCUGCAGCUAACAUAAAGGAUAAUUGUCCUCUUUGCUGACUGAUGCAGGAUUUUACGACACUUUAUGUGUUGUUCAACUCGAUCUCAAAUCAAGUAAGACUACCCGCUGAACUUAAGCAUAUCAAUAAGCGGAAGGA
rnacentral:misc_RNA from 1 species